UAGGGAAUCUUCCACAAUGGGCGAAAGCCUGAUGGAGCAACGCCGCGUGUGUGAUGAAGGGUUUCGGGCUCGUAAAACACUGUUGUAAGAGAAGAAUGACAUUGAGAGUAACUGUUCAAUGUGUGACGGUAUCUUACCAGAAAGGAACGGCUAAAUACGNGCCAG
rnacentral:rRNA from 1 species